CCUGGCCAAAAGACCGCCUCUAGAAAGUACAUACAGGGACCAGAAGAGAGAUUCAGAUCUCUUCAGUUUGGGAGUUACAUUAUGUGGAGUGUUAGCAUUAUGUGGAGUUGGAAUUGAAGCCUAGUGUUCUGGAAUAGCAACCAGUACUCCUACCCAGUAAGCCAUCCCUCCAGUCCUUCUUUCUACCUCUCUUCUAAGCAUACUUUCCCUAACACUUUAGGUUUCCCAAAUACUUUGUGUUUCACUCUUUUUCUACAGACAUCCUCUCUACCGUGUGAUUGCCUGCCACAAUAUGGCUGACCUCCAUGAUGGUAUAACUCAACUGGCAUGAAUUGUUUUCUUCUCUAUUUCCCUCUUCUGGGUAACUGCUGAGGUCUACAACUUACAGAGUCUGGGGAACAGUUUCUGUGAAAGUUUAGUAAAAUUGUCCUUGAG
rnacentral:lncRNA from 1 species